AAUAAAGAAAAAAAAAUUUUCUCCCUAGUUAAGAUUUUUAAGUUUAAACUACAUUCUCAUAAAGGAGGG
rnacentral:tRNA from 1 species